rnacentral:rRNA from 1 species
GAUGAACGCUGGCGGCGUGCCUAAUACAUGCAAGUCGAGCGAAGCGGGGACGGGUGAGUAACACGUGGAUAACCUCCUAUAAGACUGGGAUAAAUUCCGGAAACCGGAGCUAAACCGGAUCCUUAUAGAUGGAUCCGAGCUGUAUUAGGUAGUUGGUAAGGUAACGGCUUACCAAGGCAACGAUGCAUAGCCGACCUGUGAUGAGUAUCGGGUACACGGGAUCGGAGCUACGGUCCAGUCUCCUAUGCGAGGCAACGGUGGAGUGUCUUACACAAUUGGCGAAAGCCUAGCGGGACAAAGCCGCGUGAGUGAUGAAAGUCUUCGGAUCGUAAACCUCUAUUAUUAGGAAAGCGGUACCUUAUCAGAAAGCAUCGGCUAACUACGUGCCAGCAGCCGCGGUAAUAC